GUAUGAGCUCGGCUCGGCUCAUUCCCGCAACCCGCGGCGCGUCGUGACGAGCCGUGGCGUGGCGAUGCGGGCGGCGGCGGAGGAGUGCGCGAGGGCCUCUUCUCUUCUCACUCUCCAAUAGCAUGUAGAAGAGAGACCCUUAUAAAGGGGUCCAACUUCUUCUUCACUAGCGGGCUGGGACUAAACUUCCCAGCACCACCUUGUCAUGCUACCACCUACAUGGACCCUUAGAGAUUUUCUGAAAUUGUCUAAUGGGCCUUAGGGCCAUCUCAUAUUUCAACAAUCACCAGAUCUCAAGGGCACAUUGUGUUCUUAUCGUUCCAAUCAUUGUUUUGAUAAUACCAAUAUUUCAGUGAAGACCUGUUAAGGUCGAGCUUCACCUAGAGGAAGCAGCUACACUCCUUUACAAUUGAACAAUGGACUAUGUCUUGAAUUGUCAGUUUGACGUAAAGAAGCUUCACCACAAGUCUUACUGGUACUAGGCUACCGAAGGCUGACCCUUCGGGUGGAGCAUAUUAGUCACACUCCGUGCCUAUUCAUGAGUUUACUAGAGAUCACCCCAAUCUCAUAGACUGUGACCAGCGGUCGGGCUCAUGCCUUGAAUUGUCAGUUUGACGUAAAGAAGCUUCACCACAAGUCUUACUGGGCCUUGAAUUGUCAGUUUGACGUAAAGAAGCUUCACCACAAGUCUUACUGGUACUAGGCUACCGAAGGCUGACCCUUCGGGUGGAGCAUAUUAGUCACACUCCGUGCCUAUUCAUGAGUUUACUAGAGAUCACCCCAAUCUCAUAGACUGUGACCAGCGGUCGGGCUCAUAUAGGUGUGCUCCUCCAAAGAUCGCUUUGUAGGACAACAUCUUGCUUACACAUAAGCUUUAGAACACAUUAAGACAAUAGUCAUCCUACCAUACAAUAUCCGAAAGUAUUGAAU
rnacentral:lncRNA from 1 species